AGGAACCUACGGGGGGCAGCAGUAGGGAAUCUUCCACAAUGGGCGAAAGCCUGAUGGAGCAACGCCGCGUGGGUGAAGAAGGACUUCGGAUAGUAAAACCCUGUUGUUAGAGAAGAAAGUGCGUGAGAGUAACUGUUCACAUUUCGACGGUAUCUAACCAGAAAGCCACGGCUAACUACGUGCCAGCAGCCGCGGUAAUACGUAGGUGGCAAGCGUUAUCCGGAUUUAAUGGGCGUAAAGGGAA
rnacentral:rRNA from 1 species